rnacentral:rRNA from 1 species
GACGUAGGGCGCGAGCGUUGUCCGGAAUUACUGGGCGUAAAGGGCUCGUAGGCGGCCAACUAAGUCAGACGUGAAAUCCCUCGGCUUAACCGGGGAACUGCAUCUGAUACUGGAUGGCUUGAGAUUGGGAGAGGGAUGCGGAAUUCCAGGUGUAGCGGUGAAAAUGCGUAGAUAUCUGGAGGAACACCGGUGGCGAAGGCGGCAUCCUGGACCAACACUGACGCUGAGGAGCGAAAGCCAGGGGAGCAAACGGG